GACCCCAUUUGAUGGGACUUAAGGCUUCGUUUGGUUUGGUUUGGUAUGUUUGAAAUUGUUGAGUGCGAGUCUGUUAGUUAUUUACUGAUUAGGUAUUUUGUUUGGCUUCGGAUUUUAAACUUCAGUAUUUUUGUUUUUCAUUCUUUUACUCAGUAUGUUGUUCCUUCAAGGAGAACAAAGAUCUGAUUUUUGUUGAAUUUUUCUUUAUAAAAUCUGUCUGAAGUUUGAUUAUAUAUCUAGGGUUGAAGCUAAAAAUAGGAAUUAAGACCUACCUUUGUUGAAAGAAUAUAUUUUGACCUAAGUUUAAUGAUAAAAUUAGUAUAUUGAUUUAUUUUAUUUUUUUAUUUGGUGUGGGUAAUGAAGCUCUGGGCCCAGAUGAUGGGUGGAGCGAGCACACAGAAACUAACUACCAAUGAUGCAUUGGCAUAUCUCAAGGCAGUUAAGGACAUAUUUCAAGAUAAAAGGGAUAAAUAUGAUGAGUUUCUUAAAGUUAUGAAAGGUUUCAAGGCUCAAAGGGAAAGAAGAAAGAGAAGAGAGUUCAUCAUCUGGGCUGAAAAUGAGGAAUUCUUGGGGUUUCUUGGCUGCUCCAAAGCCUAACAUUUCAACUGGAAUACACAGAUUGGUGAAGACUUUCAAAAACUUCUCUCAAUUAUUUGGUAAGUGGAUUAUUAGAUAACCAAACUCUCUCCUUUUCUUUCUCUUGAACUAAUUUAUAAUUUAUGAACUUAUUGAAGAUACAAUAUUGAUAGAAAUAGUGAAAAAAAAAAUAUAUAUUACAUUCAAUAGAGUCCUUGGGUGCGUGAUGUGAUAGAAGAUACAAUAUUGUGCCUUUGGGUUGAAUACCUGCGUUGUUUAUCGAGAUUUCUUGGGUGCGUGACAUGCUAUGGAUUCUUCUUUGUUUAGUUGCUAAUGGGUUGAGAUUAAUUUUAUGGGAUUUAGAGUCCUUUGCUGUAGUAUCAUCGCUCUGAUGAUGCAGUGUCAAUGUAUCAUUUGAAGAAGAUGAACUGGUCACUUGGGGUUGUAAAUUAAAUUAUAACUUGACAGAGCAGGAUGGAAAAAACGAAAUGGAUUCACGUAGUCAAUCCCAAUUGAUUGUAACAUAAGACUUAGUUUGGUUUGAUUAGGCUUCUGGGUAGAUGAUUAAUUUGGCUAAGCGAAGAUAAUUAUUGCUCAUGUUUAUCUUCUUUACUCGACUUUUAGUAUAAAAUUCUAUAACUUUUUUUUAAUCAAUGUUAAUUUUUUUUUUUUUUUUUUGGGGGGUGGGGGAAUGGUGCCAUAUCAAAUGGUGGAUUUUGCCAGGUGCAUUAGGCUGUUGUACCUUGCUUUGCUUCAGAAAAAGCAAGCAUUGCCUGUGUGCAGGAGUUGUGAAAAUAUCCUAAUUAGAGAUGGAGGGUCAAAAUAAUAUGACUGUGAGUUUACUGAAUGCGCUUCAGCAGAGAAGUAUGCACUUUUAUUUCCUUAAUAUAUAGGAAGCAUGCAAUUAAUUACAUUGGCCUAUGAAAUUGGUGAAACUAUGAUUCCCUUUACGCAAUAGAGUCCAAUCAAGUUAUGAGGAGCAACUUUUAAUUAUUUGAAACGUUCAUAUUGUAAGGUCCGUUUAGUAAAUCAUCUAUAAAAAUAAAAAUAAAAAUAAAAAAAUUAAUUGGAUAUCUUUAGUCCCAUGAUUAGUUUUUAAUUAUUUGAUAUUUAAUUUUUUUUUUUAUAUUAGAUUUGUUUGGAAUUGUAGAAUGUAGUCUAUUAAAUAUAUUUUUAUAAUUACAUUUUAAUCUUAAAUUUAAAUAGUUUUGCGAGUACAAUUAUAUCAUAAUCCUAAUAUUAUUUACACCGUGCCUAGUAUAUAUAUAUAUAGAGAGAGAGAGAGAGAGACUUGGGUAGGUUAGAUUUUUUUUUUAUUUUUAUAAAGCCAACAUAAAAUGCCUGUUUAUAUGGUCAUUGCAUUACUAUUUCAGAGAUAUCAACCACCAUCACUUAAUCUUUGCUGUUGACCUUCAAUUGAUUUUUAUUUUCAUUUUGUUCAGAAGCUUCAUUUACCAAAACCCAACUUUAAUAAAUUUCAGCUCAAAGAUUUUGUGAUUAAAAGACAUGUCAACGAAAUAAAAAAUCGUGGUGAAAGACAUUUCAAUAAUAAAAUAAGUUACCAAAUACUACCUUCACCACAAAUUUCUAUUUUGCCAUUCCAGCUUAUCAGUCACAUAUUGUGGGAUAAAUGCACCAGCUUUCAAGUAGUGGUGGGUUCAGUCUUAUUAUUGGCCAUCCAGUCCUCUUUUUUUUUUCUUGUAAUUUUUUUGUGAACAAUUAUGUCUUUUCAAAAUAUUCUAUUCCAGCUAAUAUUUUUUCAAUAAAGUAGUCAUUACUUAAACUUGAAUUUAAGACCACACCCAUAACCUUUUCAGAUCUGGUCUCAGAAUAUCAAUAACCUAUUACAUUUAAAAUCCUAAUACUACUAAUAUGUCUUGUCAUGCCACCAAUUCAUUUUUGUAACCCAAAUAAAAAAAUUAGUCCUAAACCUUCAAUUUGUUAUGUAUAGAACAAAUCACAAAACAUGUCAAACUAAAAUUUGGACUCAUUCAUCUCACUCCAUUCCCACAGCAACACCUUCAAGCUUCCUUUUCUUUACAACUGAUCUCCAAGAAAAAUGACACUUCAGAUAAUCUUGCAGCCAUGAACCGUAAAUGUCGAUUUGGGAACUCUUAUACUGUUUAUUUUUACCAUACUUUCAUCAACUAUCAGUAUAUCACCAUUAAACAACAUACACCAAGAAGCCUCAUUCAGUCUUACUCCAAUGCAGACCAAGCAACGGAGAUAUGCAAGGGGCUUGGAGGGAUGCAGGAAGAGAGGGUGGGGGAAUUACCAAAAAGAGAGAUGGAAGAGGGUGCUAAAAGCUAAACUUUCAAAUCAAGCCAAUUUUUAUGGAGCAUGCUUGUCUCUCUUACAAUUUUCUACACUCAGUUCACAGUUCCACCAUACAUUUAUAGCAACUGCAAUGUAUCUAGCUUUUGCUUCUUCCCCAAUCAUAUCCCUCGAGUCAUUGAAACUAUAUCAACGAGUUUGUUUAGAGACUACAACAAGGGCUUUCUCUCCAAAACUUCCUAUCAAUCACAAAGCAGAGAAGCAUCUGUACCUCAAACCUAGGAUCCAGUUACAUUAUUUUCCUGAAAGGUUGCUUUUCAGUUUUCACAAUAGUAAAGGUUGCUUUUCAAAGGAUUGAAGUUGGCUCUGGGGAAAGGAGGUAUCAAGAUUGCUUAAUUACAUUAUCCUCUUGGGGUGCGAGGACAUUUAAUUUUGGUCUAAGCUCUCUGGUUGUGAGAGUUCAAUUAGUGCCUAGGUCUUUUUAUUUUUUUGUUUGCUAUCUCCGGGAGCAUGUGGCCAUGGUUUUUGUGCUUGUUGUCCCAAGGGCAUUGUAUUGAGCUCCAUUGUGUAUCUCUUCUUUUUUGGUAAUGAAAUGCUCACUUACCAAGUAAAUAAAAAAGGAAAAACACAAAAACAAACAUGUAAAAGAAGACUCAUAGUUGAAACCAUGAGGUCCAGCAUAAUUUUGCAUCUGUUUUUAUACUCAAACUUUGAGUCAACACCUAUUGAAAGAGGGGGGAAAUGGAAAGACAAGACAAUUCACAAUAUCCUAAAUCCAUUAGUAUUUAAUUGUCAAUAUCCCAAUUCUCUUUAUCUUUUUUUCAUUUCAUAAAUGAAUACUAGUAAUUUUCCUCCUUUCCGUUCUACCAUCUAGAUCCUGGCAAGUAGUGUUUCGUAUCUUACAUGAUGACUUAAUAAUAAAGACAUACCAAGAACACCUACCACUGGUAUGUUCUUAUAAUGGUUCGAUGGUUCUCUCAACCAAUUUAUUAGAGCUUCUUUAAUUCUCUUAUUUAGAAUAAUCCUUGUCACAGAAAAACUGAAAGCUCAAUUUCACUUUUGUCAACCCCAUACGAAUAGAUUUUUAUUAAGUUGCUGAUAAAUUUGGUUAAUGAAGCCUUGGAAACAAGCAACACAAGAAUAUUUAUCUACCAAAUAUGUGAAAGCAACUGAAAGGCCUACAUCAUUGGAACAAGCCAUUUGAGGAUUAGAGAAGGCACAAGGAUCAGCUCUCUCCUAAUCCAAAAAGAAUGCCACUUCUCCUUUUUUAAAAGGAGGUCCAAAAGGAAUAACACAUUAGCAGCAUACCACUGCUAUAGUCCUCUCAAAUUUUAGACCACUGACACAACCAAAAGGAAAAUUUGAAAAAGAAUAUUAACACACCAAGUUCACAAAUCUAUAAUUUACAACUUGAUCCUUCUCUCUGCUUCAAGAAAAUGACUUCGGGCUGAACAAUUAGGCAUUAGCUCUCAUAUGUUGACCACGCCCUUUGUAAAACCUUAUUUUUGGUAAUAAAAUAACUUACCAAGAAAAAGGAAGUCCAAGUGGUAAACACCAGAAACAGGGAAACACUAGUUCAGUGGUCAGCUUACAAACCUUGAGGUUGAGGGCUUUGUACAUAAGGGCAAUCACCAAUCACUUGGUACAAAUAUAUAUAUAUAUAUACACAUUGAUCUAGGAGUAAUGGUCAAGAUAAGGAUUCUUGUUCCUAAUGUUUCAAUAAAUAUCUUAAUAAGCACAUUGAUUACAAACUCUUCUAAAAACAAGUCUAGUGUAAAAGCAAAGCAAAUACUAGCGGUGCCUUCAUUAUACAGAACACCAGCAUAAUUCACACAGAUAAUUCAUAAUAAUGGAGAUUCGAUCACAAAUU